AAAUUUUCACAUUUACUUCACUUCCUCACUUCUCAGCCGACACUCCAUCUUCUCUGUCUUUUCUUUCUUUGAUCUGUUUUCGUCACUUAUAGUUUAUAACCCUAAUUUUCUUAAUUAUCCACUUUCUCUAAAAAGAUUAAACUCAGUAGACAUACAUUUUUUCAUUUUGAUCUGCACCUUAUAAUGCAUUUUCUUCUUUAUCUUAGUUCAUGACUGCGAAUUUUCUAAGAAUUGAUAGAAUCUUUUGCUGUUCGAUUCACGAAUUCAAGGUGCAAUUACAGAUGUAGAUUUUCAUUUGAUUUUGAAUUGUCUACUCUUGGUUAGUAUCGUCUGGGUUCUUGGUACAUCUGCCAUAAUUACUCGAUUUCAGUCAGAAAAUUUGACAAUCCUAGAAUGUUUUCUUAUGGUGAUUCCAUGGCUUUCCGAGUUAGAUUUGAGGUGUUAAGGGUGAUAAAUACACACUGUUUAUAUUGUUCGGAAGAACUGUAGCAGAUAGUGCCAUCAGAGGACAAAGUUGGCUAAUUUACAGUUUGGUGUCUGAACUUUUCAUGAUGUACCAGAUGGUCCCUGGUGUUUUUAAUUUUACAAUUUUGCCCCUGUAAUUUAUUUUUUGUAAUUUUAAUAUUUUUUUGUGAUUUAUGUAGAAUAAGAAUGAUAAUUAAUAUAAAUAUUCAUUUUUUUGUUUA